GGAUGUGAGGGCGAUCUGGAUGCAACAUCUGUCACCAAAUUGAUCGCCAGGGUUGAUUCGGCUGAUCUGGCUGGCUAGGCGGGUAUCCACUUCCUCCCUCACCGCUCCAUGUACAUCCCUCCCGAAGCUGAGCGCUCCAUCAAAGAGACGACCAUCCUUGAUAGAGGAGGACCAUUCUUUGGUCAAGGGGAUACAAGUAGCUGCGCUCCCCUGCUAGAACCUCCAAACAAGCUCUCAAAAAUAACCAAAGCAGAAAGGUCUAGGGAUGUGGUUCAAAUGGUAGAGUACCUGCCUAG
rnacentral:snRNA from 1 species